UUUAAGAUGGUAGAGCCCGGCAAUUGCAUAAAACUUUAUAAAUCAGAGGUUCAAUUCCUCUUCUUAACA
rnacentral:tRNA from 1 species